rnacentral:rRNA from 1 species
UACGGGGGGGGGCAAGCGGUUGUUCGGAAUUACUGGGCGUAAAGGGCUCGUAGGCGGCCAACUAAGUCAGACGUGAAAUCCCUCGGCUUAACCGGGGAACUGCGUCUGAUACUGGAUGGCUUGAGGUUGGGAGAGGGAUGCGGAAUUCCAGGUGUAGCGGUGAAAUGCGUAGAUAUCUGGAGGAACACCGGUGGCGAAGGCGGCAUCCUGGACCAAUUCUGACGCUGAGGAGCGAAAGCCAGGGGAGCAAAACGGGG